UACGUAGGGAGCAAGCGUUGUCCGGAAUCAUUGGGCGUAAAGCGCGCGUAGGUGGCCCGGUAAGUCCGCUCUGAAAGUCAAAGGCUCAACCUUUGAAAGCGGGUGGAUACUGCCAGGCUAGAGUCCGGAAGAGGCGAGUGGAAUUCCUGGUGUAGCGGUGGAAUGCGCAGAUAUCAGGAGGAACACCAACGGCGAAGGCAGCUCGCUGGGACGGUACUGACACUGAGGCGCGAAAGCGUGGUGAGCGAACAGG
rnacentral:rRNA from 1 species